rnacentral:ncRNA from 2 species
UGUCAUGGAGCCCGCGCUGCUGCCCACAGGCAGUGCACGGGAUAAUUGGGAAGCUGGUUCAAUGCCAGCGCUGCCCCCGCAACGGUAAGCGAUACAGAUUGUCAUUGAUCUGUCCCGCAAGCCCGAUACCAGCCUGACGACGAGUUACUAC